GUCCCUAUAGCGCAAUGUAUAGCGCGUUGGACUUCUAAUCCAAAGGACGUGCGUUCGAAUCCCACUUGGGAUG
rnacentral:tRNA from 1 species